rnacentral:rRNA from 1 species
AUUGAACGCUGGCGGCAUGCCUUACACAUGCAAGUCGAACGGUAACAGGCCUUCGGGUGCCGACGAGUGGCGAACGGGUGAGUAAUGUAUCGGAACGUACCUUUCAGUGGGGGAUAACGUAGCGAAAGUUACGCUAAUACCGCAUAUUCUGUGCGCAGGAAAGCAGGGGAUCGCAAGACCUUGCGCUGAUUGAGCGGCCGAUAUCAGAUUAGCUAGUUGGUGAGGUAAAGGCUCACCAAGGCGACGAUCUGUAGCGGGUCUGAGAGGAUGAUCCUCCACACUGGAACUGAGACACGGUCCAGACUCCUACGGGAGGCAGCAGUGGGGAAUUUUGGACAAUGGGGGCAACCCUGAUUCAGCCAUGCCGCGUGAGUGAAGAAGGCCUUCGGGUUGUAAAGCUCUUUCGGCCGGGAAGAAAUCGUAUCAGCUAAUACCUGGUGCGGAUGACGGUACCGGCAUAAGAAGCACCGGCUAACUACGUGCCAGCCGCCGCGGUAAUAC